rnacentral:rRNA from 1 species
CCCUUAGAUGUUCUGGGCCGCACACGCGCUACACUGAAGGAGGCAGCGUGUACUCCUGGAUCGAAAGAUUUGGGUAACCCGCGAAUCUCCUUCGUGCAAGGGAUUGAGGUUUGCAAUUAUCCUUCAUGAACGAGGAAUUCCCAGUAAGUGCAAGUCAUAAGCUUGCGCUGACUACGUCCCUGCCCUUUGUACACACCGCCCGUCGCUACUACCGAUUGAAUGAUUUAGUGAGGACUUCGGACUGGGACCGAUGCGGCUUUCGGGCUGCGUCGGUAUUCUGGAAAGAUGUCCAAACUGUAUCAUUUAGAGGAAGUAAAANUCGUANCA